rnacentral:rRNA from 1 species
UACGAAGGGGGCUAGCGUUGCUCGGAAUGACUGGGCGUAAAGGGCGCGUAGGCGGAUUGAUUAGUUAGGCGUGAAAUUCCUGGGCUUAACCUGGGGGCUGCGCUUAAUACAGUCAGUCUAGAGUGUGGAAGAGGGUCGUGGAAUUCCCAGUGUAGAGGUGAAAUUCGUAGAUAUUGGGAAGAACACCGGUGGCGAAGGCGGCCAACUGGACGAAAGACUG